ACAACAGACAAUGCAAACAAAAAGCAAAUGAACAAAAGAAACUUGAAAGGAAAGAAGUGGUGAUAAAGUCUAAGGACGGGGAAAUGUGCUAUGAAGCAAGAAGCGAAGGAUUCCAGUGAAACGUAGAGGGCCCUUGUCACCUGCCACAUAUGAAAGAGCUCAAAGAUCAGCUGCUUGGAGAAGAAUGGGAGGAAGACAUGGAGACAGAAGAAGAAUGAUAAGAAGGAAGAAGAAAAGGUGGCAGAGAGAGAAAAAGAAGACAGAGGAAGGGUUAGUAAGUCCUUAAACAUGUCAGAUGAAAUACAAGAGAAAAAUCCCUGAUUAAAACCUUCCUCUGGAAGAAGAAAAGGCUUAUGUAACCUUUUUGGAGGAUAUGCCAAACAAAUGUGGCACAUUGACAGCAUAUUAUAAAUAAUACUGAUUUUAAAAUUGUUUUUAUAAAGACAAACAGAACACUGAAUUUCCUGUUGGCAAUACUCAAACCAUUAAUAAUUUUGAUUUCAGGUUAAUACAUUUUUGGGGGGAGAAUAGAGGACUUCAGAGGGCAUUUAGAAUCAUUAGAAGCUGGUGUAUUACCACUGACAUUAACAAUCUUUGGGAAAACUCAUGAUGUCACUUGCUUUGAACAAUAUGAGGACCAGCUGUAAGUGGUACAGAAUGAAGACUAAUGACUAACUGUUCACAUGCAAAACUCAAGACUUGUGGGAGAGGACUUCUUAGGCAGCACCAGGCUGUUAGGCCAAAUUAUUAGCUCAUUUCAAUUGAAAAUGUGAAAAGACAUUACACUUUGCAAGAUGGUACUGAAGACAGCCAAGACUUUUAGCUGAAAGAAUCUCAUUCAGAGCAUCCCCAUGGUGCCAGGCUUUCAACUG
rnacentral:lncRNA from 1 species